AUACUUACCUGGCAGGGGAGAUAUCAUGAUCACGAAGGUGGUUUUCCCAGGGCGAGGCUUAUCCAUUGCACUCCGGAUGUGCUGACCCCUGCGAUUUCCCCAAAUGUGGGAAACUCGACUGCAUAAUUUGUGGUAGUUAGUGGGGGACUGCGUUCGCGCUCUCCCCUG
ensembl:snRNA U1 U1 spliceosomal RNA